AAUUUACAUGAAGUGGAGUGACUUAUGUAAGGGUGAAACUGUAUAAAAGCAGAGUACUGAGAAUGGAGAGAUCAGUUCUUACAUGGAAUUGCUCGGCUUUGUUACUUUUGUAAUGAAGUCUAUUUGAAUUCACAAGCUCCGGUAUCUGAAAAAUAUUUGUUUCAACAUUUCUACGACAGACACCUACUCAUUCAAAGUUCGUCUUGUUUGUUCAAGCUUACCAGCGGUUCCCAGCCUCUCUUUGCUAGUCUUCCCAGUUUUGACCUCUGCCUGUCCUGAUCCUGUACCCGCCCUCCUGACGCUGAGCCUGCCUGCUGUCCUGUACCUUUGCUCCACCUCUGGAUUACUGAACCCUGCCUGUCCCUAACCCUGAGUCCACCUGCCGUCCUGUACCAUUGUCUUACCCUGGAUUUUCAACCACUGCCUGCUUUGGCAUGUCUUUGCCUGCCGCUGUUGCUACAAUACAGUGUUACUUUGACAGUCUGCAUCUGGGUCUUACCUUGAUUCCUGAUAACCACAGCGAUACGCCACCCAAUGUGGUUUGCGCUUAGUGGGACUAUCUUGUGUUUUUCAACAGGACAACCUCAAUCCAAUUGAGACGGUUUGGGAUGAGUUGGACCUCAGAGUGAAGCAAAAGCAGCCAACAAGUGCUCACCCUCUGUGGGAACUCUUCAAGACUGUUCAAGCAUUCCAGGUGAAGCUGGUUGCGAGAAUGCCAAGAGUGUGCAAUGCUGUCAUCAAGGUUCUCCCACUGCCGCUGUUUUCUGGGUAAUCUUCAAAGUUUCUGGUGGCAGCAAAACACAGUCAUGUGGACGAUUGGAUGACUUCCAACAGACUGACUGGUUUUCCAGCAUGGCGCCUGGUCUGGUUGCUACAGUAGGUGAUCUGUGAAGAAACUACAAGCACUCUAUAGUGGCACAACCUGUUUUACUUAUCUGUACACAAUAUCAUUGGUUGAUAGAUAAUCAAGUCAAACCAAUCUACACCUGGGGCCUGUUCAGGAGAAUGGAAAUUUCCAGAUUUUUCGGAUAGAAACAUUUUGUGUAGAUCAAACAUGAUCUACUUUCAGAUUGAAAUAUUAUGGGACAUUGUGUGUGUGCUCCAUUAGUUGAAGGUAGCAAAUCCAAAAGUUUCUGAAGAGUAGUCACUUCCUUAGAUCUGUGUUCAAAUCUUUUUUUUAAGUAGUUGCUUUCUCAGAUCUGUAUUCAAAUAGUUACAUUGGAGGUGACUACAACUAUCUGUUCCGCUAAAAAAAUUGUUACUUUCCACAAAGCGUAUUUUAAACUAUAGUUGUCAAAUGUGUCGUGCCCACUGUCCACAAAAUGGACAACUGAGCUGCACUUUAUAACCUCCUGCCAAAUGUAUGACCACAUUAGAGACACAUAUUUCCCACAGAUCAGAGAGAGAGAGAAUGAGCCAAAUGCUUUGUCGGUCAUUACAGAGUGAAAACACACCAACCUUCAGGCCACGAGAACCCUUUGGAAACUAGCUAUGACUGUAAACACAACGCUACACCUCUGUGUGUGUGGCUAGCUCUCUCACCUCUCUCCAAAGACCAAUUAGUACCCACCCCCCUCUCCCUUUACUUUCUCUCUCUUAUCUUCAACUCCUGUCCCCUUCUCUCCCCCUUUCCCUUUUUCUCUCAACGUCAUUCGCACUUUGCAUUCUGUUCUCGCUCUCAAUUUUCACAAGAAAUUUGAACCCUCUGGGGUUUCCCAGCAUCCUUUACACUUUCUCAGAAUCUCUUUUUUUGGCGGGGGGG